rnacentral:lncRNA from 1 species
AUCUUCUGCUCACCUGAUUAGUAGUUGAAAUCUUUUUCUGUCGCAUGGUCAAGACUUGUACCCAGUUCUUGACACCAAAAUUCACACUCUAAGUUACACAAACUAGGUUGAAGAUCAUCUUACGCAACCAUGCAGAGUGGAGGAAGGUCCAUGGAGCUCCAUAGGGCUUCGUGGUCUUGGCUUGUGCACUCGCCAGCGCCAUCGCCAUCCGUUUUCAGGUCUGUAGUUGUGGUGGUUUCCGUGCUGCCGCUGGAUUGACCAUCCCAUGUGCUCGUAUCGUUCACCCUCCAAAGCGACGGCGACGAGUUAGAGAGAUGCGUGUCGGGAGGGGACAAAGGGAGACCGCGUAGACUUGACUCGUGUGGCGACAUGCAAUAGUCCGGUUGGGUUAGCAGCACGCAUUCUUGAAAACUGUCGGAUGUACAAGGCGAACUGUCGAACUGCACCCGGAGCAUGAAGUCGCUGUUGUCAGACAGAUGCUCUUCCACCACACUUGUGCAGGAAUCUCUUUCAAUGGUUUCAGUGAAAUCGAACGUGGAGUUGUACACUCCCGAGCUUUCACAGCUUAGGUCUAACCCUAGCAACCCGGACUCCAUGCCUGUCGUGUCUCCCCAGAUGUAAUCCUGCCAUGGAAUGUCAGGGCCAUGAAGGUUUGAAAAUCCUUUUUCUCUAAGAUCGCAGAUCUCGGGUGAUCUUUUCUCCGACUCCGUGCCAUACAUCUCAGUGUUUGUGUAGUCCAUCUGUCCUUUAGGGACCGACGAAGCCAGAGGUUCACAACAUUUUGGCUCCAUCAUGCAUUUGGCAGCAUCCAGAGUCAUGGCAUCGUCUGAGUUUAAGUGUUGAGCGAUGCUCCUCAAGCUCCUCUGUCUGUCCAGGAUCGCAUUGUUGUUGCUCAUCCCGGGAUCGAGGUCUCCAUACCUCUCAGAUUGAUAUAUGCUUACGUGAUCCCUGUUGGUAGAGCACGAAAGUUGUUGCUGGGAAGAAGCAUCAUGGUGGGAGCACCCCACAAGUCCAGACAUAUUAUGAUCUGUUCUAAACUGUUGUCUCGACGCUUCUAAUGGUACGAUAAGAAAGGGAUUUGGAGAUUGAGGUACGAAGUUGUCAACUGGGAGAGUGGAGAAGCUCUCAAAUGGC